rnacentral:rRNA from 1 species
UACGUAGGGUGCGAGCGUUGUCCGGAAUUAUUGGGCGUAAAGGGCUCGUAGGCGGUUUGUUGCGUCAGGAGUGAAAACUCGGGGCUUAACCCCGAGCCUGCUUCUGAUACGGGCAGACUAGAGGUAUGCAGGGGGAGAACGGAAUUCCUGGUGUAGCGGUGAAAUGCGCAGAUAUCAGGAGGAACACCGGUGGCGAAAGGCGGGGUCUCUGGGGCCGAUACUGACGUGAGGAGCGAAAGCGUGGGGGAGCGAAACAGG